rnacentral:rRNA from 1 species
CCUACGGGAGGCUGCAGUGGGGAAUAUUGGACAAUGGGCGAAAGCCUGAUCCAGCAAUGCCGCGUGAGUGAUGAAGGCCUUAGGGUUGUAAAGCUCUUUUACCCGGGAUGAUAAUGACAGUACCGGGAGAAUAAGCUCCGGCUAACUCCGUGCCAGCAGCCGCGGUAAUACGGAGGGAGCUAGCGUUAUUCGGAAUUACUGGGCGUAAAGCGCACGUAGGCGGCUUUGUAAGUUAGAGGUGAAAGCCUGGAGCUCAACUCCAGAACGGCCUGUAAGACUGCAUCGCUUGAAUCCAGGAGAGGUGAGUGGAAUUCCGAGUGUAGAGGUGAAAUUCGUAGAUAUUCGGAAGAACACCAGUGGCGAAGGCGGCUCACUGGACUGGUAUUGACGCUGAGGUGCGAAAGCGUGGGGAGCAAACAGGAUUAGAUACCCCGGUAGUC